AGAUGGGGAGAGGGGGCUCCUAAGUGGGGGCCACGUGGAGAAGGAAGCGUCUUUUUCCACGGUUUGGAUGAAGGAAUCCAUUUCCAGCCCCACUUGUGACCCCAGUUUCUGAGAGAAGCAAGAAACAGCCCAACUCUCAGGAGCUGGGGGACCUGCAACGUCCUCGGAUAGGAAUAUGCAGGAACAGGACCUCCCUUCUGUUUAACUCUCUAGAAGUCCGGAUUUUUUCUUGUUCGCCCAGGACUCCUGGAAAGAGGAGGCCUGUCUGGAAAGAGGGAGGCCUGGAGAGCUAGAAGUUGCUUAAGGUGGAGAAAUGACCUAAGGGCAUGAGGUCCCAGCCACCUGUUCCCAGCGCAGUGCUCUGUCCCUUUCAUGCUCAGAAUGUACAGAAAAUGGCUUUCAAUAUGGCUGACCUAGGGUCAGAGUUUUAGCUCAGUGGUUCCGCCACGUGCCUCACAAGCGCAAGGUCCAGAGUUCGAUCCCAGCUUCCUGGCUCACAGGUGAUGUGUCUCAUCACACAUGUCCCUGAGGAGGAUGCCAGCCACUGUGACGUUAUAUGGUCAGGGGGCCUUUGCCAGAGCGGGUGCCAUGCUUUUUGGACAUUAAGCCUCAAAAACUGACCCUGUGGGCCAAUGAAGCAGAAGAAUGCUGAGACACAGCCGAGCCAGCGCGAGGAUGGAGCUGUGGCGUAGGGUGCGGUGGACAGGAGUGGAGGCCCCUGUUGCCAGCAUAUGGAGAACCCAGGUUUUGGCCAAGGCCACAGCAUUUCGACAGAACAAAAUGAACCACAUUUCGAAGAAAAGCUGCUCCUGAACUUGGGCAAGUACCUGUAAUGUAAAAGGGUCUUAGGUUUAUAAAUUGGGCACUGGACCGGUGCUUUCCACCCCCAAGGAAGCCACAGUAUCAGUGGGCAGCAGACGUGGACUUCAGCAGACAUGGAAAUGUUUUGCAUGCUGACACUGAUGGGCACCGUGACCGACAGCAGGAACCCACAGCCUGGAUCAGCAUCCUGAAGACUCCCCAGGAACCCAUAAGUAAAGCAGCUUCAGAUCAUAAGGUGCCUCUCUCCGGAGGGCCCGUGCUCUGUUUCUUCAAAGGUGUCCCUUACAUUUCUCUCAAAUAAAUUACUCUUUUGCAUCCUGAAAAUUCUUUUUCCCCCAAUGGGAGUCGGCGAGCCUGCAGUAUCGUUCUACUGGUUAGGGUGGGUUCGUGAAACUCCUAGGAUCCUAUUUGAAGGCAAACAGAAGUGAGGUUCUAAAGACGAAAGAAAGCUCCUUCUGGGUUGGGCCCGAGCCCUGCCGCUCCUGCCAGCCCUCUUCUUCCCAGGCCUGAAUUUGGCCCUUGCCCUCUCACUGUCCAGUGAGUCUUAUUCCCCAUGUUGAUCAUAAGCCCAGGA